UGAGAAGAUCCGGCGAGAAACUCAGUGG
rnacentral:sRNA from 1 species